UACAGAGGCCUCAAGCGUUAGGCGGAAUCACUGGGCUUAAAGCGUGUGUAGGCGGGUCGUUAAGUACCUCGUGAAAUCCCACGGCUUAACCGUGGAAUGGCUUGGUAUACUGGCGAUCUUGAGCGGUCUAGGGGCGAGCGGAACUGACGGUGGAGCGGUGAAAUGCGUAGAUAUCGUCAGGAACGCCAAUGGUGAAAACAGCUCGCUGGGGACCUGCUGACGCUGAGACACGAAAGCCAGGGGAGCAAACGGG
rnacentral:rRNA from 1 species